AGCAAGCAUGGUUAAGCAGAGGAGGAGUCAGCGGAGCAGUUAAUUCCAUCCCUGACAACAUGUCUGCAAAGGUUCCAUGAGCUUUGCAUAAGGCCAGGAGUUCACCUAGAUGACUUUGACAGAACUUUCUGGUUCCAAGAUUCUGCCUUCAUUCCUCGUCUGUAUUUCAAUUGGUGGCCCUUACAGUCUACUUUAAGAUGCAAAUGGUUUGCAAAAGUUAACUCAAUGGUGGUGUUAAAAAAAAUAGAUAACUAGAAGAGUUAUAGAAUAUAGUGACUACAAACACUGGGCUUCUGAAUCAGUCAGACAAGAGGAGUCCGGUCUCAACUGUGUGUUCAUUUUCUGACCUCAGUAGGACAUGUGGCUAAAACCUUCACUUCAACUAUGAAAUCUUCAGAAAUGGUAUUUAAAGCUGUGGUCUUCUCCAGUUUGCUGCUAAAUAUAUGUGAGUAACCAAGUGACCAUUUGGGGAAGACUCACAUGUGAGGAAACUGAAGGAGGCCUCUGGCUGGCAGCCAGCAAGAAAUGGAGGUCCUCAGUGCAACAAGCUGCUGGGAACUGAAUGUUGCUGAUGACUAUGUGAGCUUGGAAAAGGAAAUCCUUCCCCAGUCAAGCUCAGAUGAGACUGCAGCCCUAGCUAACACACUGAUUGCAGCUUUGUGGGAACCUGAAGUAGAGGACUCUGCUAAGGCAGCAUUCUUAACCCACAGAAACCAUAGAAUGUUGUUGUAAGGCACUAAUGGUUUUAUGUUGUUGUUUUAAGCCACUAAAAUUAUAGUUAUAUUGUUCUGCAGCAAUAGAUACCUAACAGAUACUGCAUAUGUAUAUGUUCCUGAUUUAAGAUUUUGAUCAACAGUUAUUUAUUAAGCACCUACCAUAUGCCAAGAUUCAUCCUAGGGUAAACAGAUGGUUACUGGCCUUGAAGAUGUUUAUUCUUUUGGAAAAGACCAGAUAUGUCUACCUCAAGGAACAAAGCACAAUACUCAUCCCACAAGAUUAUACCAGCAAACCAAUGAGACAGUGUAUAAGAAAACACUCAGUAGUUUGUCUGACACAUAAUAGCUAUUAAUGUAGUUAAAGUAUUUAAAGAACUUUUUUUUUUUGCUUGAAAUUAAUGUCUUUUAGGCAAAGGUCUAAGAGAGAGGAGGCUACCGACAGUUGGAGAAAUAUAAGAGGCCAGACUGGACUUUGACAGGAAAAAAAUAAUUGGUAGUGUGAUAGUAGGUAAAUCUGUCCAUUAUCCUUCAUGUGAACAGUCAGAGGAGGAAGGCAUGGAGUAACAAUAAUGGUGGGAAGCUAGUUUUUAUGUGGUGGGAAUAUAGUUUAUAUAAUCAAUUUUUCACUACUGGAAGGACUAGAUCCUGAGCCAGAAGCAAUCCCGUUAAUUAAAAGAACCUACUUCUCAAGUCAUUGCAAAGAGAAGAUUUUUUAUUAUCUUUAAAAAUUUGCCAAAAAGUAUUCAACAAAACUAGAAAAUAUUCAGUAAGGAAUUAUGUCAUCUGACCUAAAACACUAGAGUUAUGUAUUGUGUUUGAAAUUUCAGCUGUGACAUUCAUUGGUAGCUGCUACAAUAUACAUUUGUGCUUAGGAAAUCUAUUGCCGAUUCAUUACUUAUUAUUA
rnacentral:lncRNA from 1 species